rnacentral:rRNA from 1 species
GGGUUGUGAGGUUAAGCGACUAAGCGUACACGGUGGAUGCCCUGGCAGUCAGAGGCGAUGAAGGACGUGCUAAUCUGCGAUAAGCGUCGGUGAGGUGAUAUGAACCGUUAUAACCGGCGAUUUCCGAAUGGGGAAACCCAGUGUGUUUCGACACACUAUCAUUAACUGAAUCCAUAGGUUAAUGAGGCGAACCGGGGGAACUGAAACAUCUAAGUACCCCGAGGAAAAGAAAUCAACCGAGAUUCCCCCAGUAGCGGCGAGCGAACGGGGAGGAGCCCAGAGCCUGAAUCAGUGUGUGUGUUAGUGGAAGCGUCUGGAAAGGCGCGCGAUACAGGGUGACAGCCCCGUACACAAAAAUGCACAUAUUGUGAGCUCGAUGAGUAGGGCGGGACACGUGGUAUCCUGUCUGAAUAUGGGGGGACCAUCCUCCAAGGCUAAAUACUCCUGACUGACCGAUAGUGAACCAGUACCGUGAGGGAAAGGCGAAAAGAACCCCGGCGAGGGGAGUGAAAAAGAACCUGAAACCGUGUACGUACAAGCAGUGGGAGCCUCUUAAUAGGGUGACUGCGUACCUUUUGUAUAAUGGGUCAGCGACUUAUAUUCUGUAGCAAGGUUAACCGAAUAGGGGAGCCGAAGGGAAACCGAGUCUUAACUGGGCGUUAAGUUGCAGGGUAUAGACCCGAAACCCGGUGAUCUAGCCAUGGGCAGGUUGAAGGUUGGGUAACACUAACUGGAGGACCGAACCGACUAAUGUUGAAAAAUUAGCGGAUGACUUGUGGCUGGGGGUGAAAGGCCAAUCAAACCGGGAGAUAGCUGGUUCUCCCCGAAAGCUAUUUAGGUAGCGCCUCGUGAAUUCAUCUCCGGGGGUAGAGCACUGUUUCGGCAAGGGGGUCAUCCCGACUUACCAACCCGAUGCAAACUGCGAAUACCGGAGAAUGUUAUCACGGGAGACACACGGCGGGUGCUAACGUCCGUCGUGAAGAGGGAAACAACCCAGACCGCCAGCUAAGGUCCCAAAGUCAUGGUUAAGUGGGAAACGAUGUGGGAAGGCCCAGACAGCCAGGAUGUUGGCUUAGAAGCAGCCAUCAUUUAAAGAAAGCGUAAUAGCUCACUGGUCGAGUCGGCCUGCGCGGAAGAUGUAACGGGGCUAAACCAUGCACCGAAGCUGCGGCAGCGACACUAUGUGUUGUUGGGUAGGGGAGCGUUCUGUAAGCCUGUGAAGGUGGCCUGUGAGGGUUGCUGGAGGUAUCAGAAGUGCGAAUGCUGACAUAAGUAACGAUAAAGCGGGUGAAAAGCCCGCUCGCCGGAAGACCAAGGGUUCCUGUCCAACGUUAAUCGGGGCAGGGUGAGUCGACCCCUAAGGCGAGGCCGAAAGGCGUAGUCGAUGGGAAACAGGUUAAUAUUCCUGUACUUGGUGUUACUGCGAAGGGGGGACGGAGAAGGCUAUGUUGGCCGGGCGACGGUUGUCCCGGUUUAAGCGUGUAGGCUGGUUUUCCAGGCAAAUCCGGAAAACCAAGGCUGAGGCGUGAUGACGAGGCACUACGGUGCUGAAGCGACAAAUGCCCUGCUUCCAGGAAAAGCCUCUAAGCAUCAGGUAACAUCAAAUCGUACCCCAAACCGACACAGGUGGUCAGGUAGAGAAUACCAAGGCGCUUGAGAGAACUCGGGUGAAGGAACUAGGCAAAAUGGUGCCGUAACUUCGGGAGAAGGCACGCUGAUAUGUAGGUGAAGCGACUUGCUCGUGGAGCUGAAAUCAGUCGAAGAUACCAGCUGGCUGCAACUGUUUAUUAAAAACACAGCACUGUGCAAACACGAAAGUGGACGUAUACGGUGUGACGCCUGCCCGGUGCCGGAAGGUUAAUUGAUGGGGUUAGCGGCAACGCGAAGCUCUUGAUCGAAGCCCCGGUAAACGGCGGCCGUAACUAUAACGGUCCUAAGGUAGCGAAAUUCCUUGUCGGGUAAGUUCCGACCUGCACGAAUGGCGUAAUGAUGGCCAGGCUGUCUCCACCCGAGACUCAGUGAAAUUGAACUCGCUGUGAAGAUGCAGUGUACCCGCGGCAAGACGGAAAGACCCCGUGAACCUUUACUAUAGCUUGACACUGAACAUUGAGCCUUGAUGUGUAGGAUAGGUGGGAGGCUUUGAAGUGUGGACGCCAGUCUGCAUGGAGCCGACCUUGAAAUACCACCCUUUAAUGUUUGAUGUUCUAACGUUGGCCCGUAAUCCGGGUUGCGGACAGUGUCUGGUGGGUAGUUUGACUGGGGCGGUCUCCUCCUAAAGAGUAACGGAGGAGCACGAAGGUUGGCUAAUCCUGGUCGGACAUCAGGAGGUUAGUGCAAUGGCAUAAGCCAGCUUGACUGCGAGCGUGACGGCGCGAGCAGGUGCGAAAGCAGGUCAUAGUGAUCCGGUGGUUCUGAAUGGAAGGGCCAUCGCUCAACGGAUAAAAGGUACUCCGGGGAUAACAGGCUGAUACCGCCCAAGAGUUCAUAUCGACGGCGGUGUUUGGCACCUCGAUGUCGGCUCAUCACAUCCUGGGGCUGAAGUAGGUCCCAAGGGUAUGGCUGUUCGCCAUUUAAAGUGGUACGCGAGCUGGGUUUAGAACGUCGUGAGACAGUUCGGUCCCUAUCUGCCGUGGGCGCUGGAGAACUGAGGGGGGCUGCUCCUAGUACGAGAGGACCGGAGUGGACGCAUCACUGGUGUUCGGGUUGUCAUGCCAAUGGCACUGCCCGGUAGCUAAAUGCGGAAGAGAUAAGUGCUGAAAGCAUCUAAGCACGAAACUUGCCCCGAGAUGAGUUCUCCCUGAGACUUAGAGUCUCCUGAAGGAACGUUGAAGACGACGACGUUGAUAGGCCGGGUGUGUAAGCGCAGCGAUGCGUUGAGCUAACCGGUACUAAUGAACCGUGAGGCUUAACCUUACAACGCCGAAG